rnacentral:rRNA from 1 species
AUGCAAAUGCCGUUCUGCCCCAAGCUGUGGGAUCGGAGCCCGGUCCCGCCGGCGAACGCCAUCGCCGUCAAUGGCACCGUCGUCGUCGCCAACACCUUCGGCCUCUCCGCGCCCGGCAAGUCCACCACCCUGCGCCUCUUCAGCGGCACCCAAAUCGACCACGAGACGGGGAAGGGGAAGCUGAGCCCGGAGGCCCCGCUGAGGGGCGGCAAGAAGAGCAAGCACGGGAAGACGAGCACGACGACGUACCACGUCACGUUCGUGGUGGACGCCGACUUCGGCACGCCGGGGGCCGUGUCCGUCCGGAACGGGAACCGCGCCGACCGGUUCUUCCUCCGCCACGUGCGGCUGGAGCUCGCCGAGGACCGCAGCAUCCACUUCGAGUGCAACUCCUGGGUGUACCCCUACAAGAAGACCGCCGCCGACCGCCUCUUCUUCGUCAACACGGUCAGAAGCUACCUGCCUUCCAAGACGCCGGAGGCGCUGGUGCUGCUGCGGGACGAGGAGCUGCGGAGCCUGCGAGGGGACGGCAAGGGAGAGCGCAAGGACUGGGAGCGCAUCUACGACUACGACCGCUACAACGACCUCGGCAACCCCGACAACCCGGAGCACGUCCGCCCGGUCGUCGGCGGCACCCGGACGCACCCCUACCCGCGCCGCUGCCGGACAGGCCGUGCCAUCAGCAACACCGACGGCGUGACGGAGACGCGCAAGCACGUGAUCAACCUGGACUUCUACAUCCCGCCGGACGAGCGGUUCAGCCCGGGGAAGCUGGAGGAGGUGCUCAAGCUGGGGGUGCAGGCGGUGACGCACUUCGUGAUCCCAGAGGCGAGGACGCUGGUCCACGGCAACGACUUCAAGUCCAUGGAGCAGCUGAGGAAGGACCUGUACAGCAGGCCCGUGCAGCCGGCGGUGGACGGCGAGGUCAUGGAGAGGCUCAAGUCCUCCGUGCCGUCCCACAAGACCUACAAGCAGGUGGCCAAGGCCGUCAAGGAGGAGCACCCCGCCAAGUUCCCCAUCCCGCAAGUCAUCCAGCAGGAUCCUGAGGCGUGGAGGAGCGACGAGGAGUUCGCGAGGGAAAUGCUUGCAGGGCUCAACCCUGUUGCCAUCAAGAGAUUACAAACGUUUCCGCCGGUGAGCAGUGGCGGGAAGAGGAGCUCGAUAACCGCCGAGCACAUCAAGAGCCAGCUUGGAGAUGUAACCAUUGAAAUGGCAAUGCAUCAGAAGAGGCUGUACAUCCUGGACCACCAUGACUACCUGAUGCCGUACCUGAGGCGCAUAAACACGCUGGGCGUGUGCAUCUACGCGUCGCGCACGCUGCUGUUCCUCAAGGCCGACGGGACCCUCAAGCCGGUCGUGAUCGAGCUGAGCCUGCCCAGCGACGGCGAGGGCGACACCGAGCUGAGCCGGGUCUUCCUCCCCGCGACCCACGGCACCGAGGGCCAUCUGUGGCAGCUCGCCAAGGCCCACGUCUCCGUCAACGACUCGGGGUACCAUCAGCUCAUCAGCCACUGGCUGUUCACGCACGCGGCGGUGGAGCCGUUCAUCAUCGCGACCAGGAGGCAGCUGAGCGCCAUGCACCCCAUCCACAAGCUCCUGGAGCCGCACUUCAAGGACACCAUGCAGAUCAACACCCUGGCCAGGAGCAUACUGCUCAACGCCGGCGGCAUCCUGGAGCGGACCAUGUACCCGGGGAAGUACGCCGUGGAGAUGUCCUCCGCCAUCUACGGCGACUGGAGGUUCACCGAGCAGUCCCUGCCAAAUGAUCUCCUCAAGCGGGGGAUGGCCUCCAGCUCCAAUGAGCCCGGCGGCCUGACCCUGCACAUCGAGGACUACCCGUACGCCGUCGACGGCCUCGAGGUAUGGCACGCCAUCGACGGGUGGGUGCGCAGCUACUGCGCCCACUUCUACCACAGCGACAAGGAGGUGGACGGCGACGCGGAGCUGCAGGCGUGGUGGCACGACGUCCGGACCGUCGGCCACGGCGACCGGCAGGGCGACCAGGCGUGCUGGCUGGCGCUGGACACCGUCGACCACCUCGCCCAGACGCUGUCGACGCUCAUCUGGAUCGCCUCCGCGCUGCACGCGGCCGUCAACUUCGGGCAGUACGCCUACGCGGGGUUCCCGCCGAACCGGCCCACCCGGUGCCGCCGGUUCGUGCCGCUCCCGGGGUCGCCGGAGAUGACGCAGCUGGAGGCCGACCCGGAGAAGUUCUUCCUGGAGAUGGUGCCCGACAGGUUCACCGCCACGCUGGGGCUGGCGCUCAUCGAGGUGCUGUCCAACCAUACCUCCGACGAGGUCUACCUCGGGCAGCGCGCCACGUCCACGUGGACGGACGACGGCCAGCUGCUGCGCCUGCUGGACCGGUUCCGGGAGGACCUCCGGCGGGUGGAGAGGCGGGUGGAGGAGAGGAACAAGGACCCGCGGCUCAAGAACCGGAGGGGGCCGGCCAAGGUGCCGUACACGCUCUUGUUCCCGGAUGUCGCCGGCCAGGAGAAGGGGCUCACGGGGAAAGGGAUACCCAAUAGCGUCUCCAUAUGA